UACGUAGGUGACCAGCGUUGUCCGGAUUUACUGGGCGUAAAGAGCGCGCAGGCGGUCGUUCAAGUCGAGUGUGAAAGCCCCCGGCUCAACUGGGGAGGGUCACUCGAUACUGAUCGACUUGAAGGCAGGAGAGGGAAGCGGAAUUCCCGGUGUAGUGGUGAAAUGCGUAGAUAUCGGGAGGAACACCAGUGGCGAAGGCGGCUUCCUGGCCUGUUCUUGACGCUGGGGCGCGAAAGCUAGGGGAGCAAACGGG
rnacentral:rRNA from 1 species